GAGUUUGAUCAUGGCUCAGAACGUACGCUGGCGGCACGCCUAACACAUGCAAGUCGAACGAAGUAGCAAUACUUAGUGGCAGACGGGUGAGUAACAUGUAGGUAUCUGCCCUUUGGCCUGGAAUAACACGAGGAAACUUGUGCUAAUACCGGAUAAGUCUUUACGGAGAAAGCUUUAUGCACCAUUGGAUGAGCCUGCACUUGAUUAGUUUGUUGGUGGGGUAAUGGCCUACCAAGACUGUGAUCAAUAGCUGAUUUGAGAGGAUGAUCAGCCACAUUGGGACUGAGACACGGCCCAAACUCCUACGGGAGGCAGCAGUGGGGAAUCUUGCACAAUGGAGGAAACUCUGAUGCAGCGAUGCCGCGUGAGUGAAGAAGGCCCUUGGGUUGUAAAGCUCUUUCGUCAGGGAAGAAAAUGACUGUACCCGAAUAAGAAGGUCCGGCUAACUUCGUGCCAGCAGCCGCGGUAAUACGAAGGGACCUAGCGUAGUUCGGAAUUACUGGGCUUAAAGAGUUCGUAGGUGGUUGAAAAAGUUAGUGGUGAAAUCCCAGAGCUUAACUCUGGAACUGCCAUUAAAACUUUUCAGCUAGAGUAUGAUAGAGGAAAGCAGAAUUUCUAGUGUAGAGGUGAAAUUCGUAGAUAUUAGAAAGAAUACCAAUUGCGAAGGCAGCUUUCUGGAUCAUUACUGACACUGAGGAACGAAAGCAUGGGUAGCGAAGAGGAUUAGAUACCCUCGUAGUCCAUGCCGUAAACGAUGUGUGUUAGACGUUGGAAAUUUAUUUUCAGUGUCGCAGGAAACCGAUAAACACACCGCCUGGGGAGUACGACCGCAAGGUUAAAACUCAAAUGAAUUGACGGGGACCCGCACAAGUAGUGGAGCAUGUGGUUUAAUUCGAAGAUACGCGCAGAACCCUUACCAACACUUGACAUGUUCGUCGCGACUCUAAGAGAUUAGAGUUUUCCGGUUCC
rnacentral:rRNA from 1 species